UUUUUUUUUUUUGUCUUUUUUUUUAUACUUUUCCCCAAGAAAUCGCCCACGUUUCUAGCUUUCACCACCUUCUCCCCCGCAAAUUAAAAAAGGAAGAAAAGAGGGAGUGAAGAGAGGGAAGUCGACAGAAAAUAAGGAACACUAUUCGUGCAAUUUCAUAGCAAUAUCCCCAUAACGUAUACCUCCUGCAGCAUUAUUCAAUCGUUUUGACAGCAGACACUGAUAAAUAAUGGUCAUACUUGACUUGUUAAGCAAAAAGCGUCCCUUUUAUCAGGAGCUUAUAUUUAAAGUACAGGUCACUUCAACAAUCUCAACAACGAGGCUUUGGUAUACAGCACUUUCUUUUUUAUUAUUUUUAAAAAAUAAUAGAACUCAGCAAAAAGCCUGAGCUCCCGGUUUUUUAGAUGUCUUAACGUUAUGUCAGAUUAUGCCUAGAGUAAUAUCACUUUUAGGGCAAGGGACGGGGGGACGGGGACAAGAGAGUUUCUAAUGUUAUCGAUUGAAAGCUAAGGCAUCCAAACAGCCCUGAUAUAGUUGUUGAAACGGAAAUUUACAAGCUGGUCGUUAAUACUUGCAAUAAAAUAUCACACUCCUUUUAUUCACUAACGACCUGCUUUGCAUGCAAUAUUUUAUUUCAGGUAUUUUAGCUGCUAACUUGUAAAUAUUUAAAAGAAGGAACUUUGUUCAUUAUUUAAUAUUAAUAUUAUUAUUAUUAUUUUCUCUAUUCUGAAUGCUUAUUUAGUGAGAUAGUCCUGAAGAUAUAAUAAUUCUACAUAUGGCGCUUUUAGUUCACAUAAUAUUUAAGGAAAAAAAAAAAGACAAAAUCCACAUAGAAUUAGACAUAUAAUUCAAAGACCACGGUACAACCUUUCCUUUUUUUUUUUCUUUUUCUUUUACUUCAGCAAACAAAAAAUAGUCAAAUGACAUGAAAAGUGGCAAGUCUUCCGAUAAUAAAUAAUAAAUUACUUUAUAAUUUUGCAAUGCAAGAGCAAACAAAAGGAUUUUUUUUCUUUUUUCCUUUUCAUUUUCCUUUUUUUUUUUUUUUUUUUAUUUUUUCUCUUUAUUUCUAGAGAGUGAGAGAGAAAGGGAAAGAGAGAAAAACAGUCGUUUUAACCAAUGACUAUACACGUCUUUGGGGAAGGGGAAGGUUCUUGGACAGACACAUUUCAAACACAAUCCCGAGACGCUUUGUGGCAAAAUAGAGGUAUAACUUGUUGCAAUGUUUUUAUAAAUUGGUUUUUAAAGAGGAAUUCAAAAACCUAUUUUUAAAUCGCUUCAGACUUGAUAAAGAGAGUGGAUCUCAACCAAACAAAACCAAAACCCCGCUACAGUACAUGCUAGAAGAGACCCAGGAAAUAUC
ensembl:lncRNA